rnacentral:rRNA from 1 species
UCGGGAAUUUUGGGCAAUGGGCGAAAGCCUGACCCAGCAACGCCGCGUGAAGGAUGAAGUAUUUCGGUAUGUAAACUUCGUAAGAAUAGGAAGAAUAAAUGACGGUACUAUUUGUAAGGUCCGGCUAACUACGUGCCAGCAGCCGCGGUAAUACGUAGGGACCAAGCGUUGUUCGGAUUUACUGGGCGUAAAGGGUGCGUAGGCGGCAUAUCAAGUCACUUGUGAAAUCUCCGGGCUUAACUCGGAACUGCCAAGUGAUACUGAUGUGCUAGAGUGCAGAAAGGGCAACUGGAAUUCUUGGUGUAGCGGUGAAAUGCGUAGAUAUCAAGAGGAACACCUGAGGCGAAGGCGAGUUGCUAGGCUGACACUGACGCUGAGGUACGAAAGCUAGGGGAGCGAACGGGAUUAGAUACCCUGGUAGUCCCUGAGCGGGCUGGCAAGGCGCAU